rnacentral:rRNA from 1 species
CCUACGGGAGGCAGCAGUGAGGAAUAUUGGUCAAUGGACGCAAGUCUGAACCAGUCAUGCCGCGUGCAGGAUGACGGCUCUAUGAGUUGUAAACUGCUUUUGUACGAGGGUAAACCCCGAUACGUGUAUCGUGUUGAAAGUAUCGUACGAAUAAGGAUCGGCUAACUCCGUGCCAGCAGCCGCGGUAAUACGGAGGAUCCGAGCGUUAUCCGGAUUUAUUGGUUUUAAAGGGUGCGUAGGCGGUUUGAUAAGUUAGAGGUGAAAUGUCGGGGCUCAACCCCGAAACUGCCUCUAAUACUGUUGGACUAGAGAAUAGUUGCGGUAGGCGGAAUGUAUGGUGUAGCGGUGAAAUGCUUAGAGAUCAUACAGAACACCGAUUGCGAAGGCAGCUUACCAAACUAUAUCUGACGUUGAGGCACGAAAGCGUGGGUAGCAAACAGGAUUAGAUACCCUUGUAGUC